UAGGGAAUCUUCGGCAAUGGACGAAAGUCUGACCGAGCAACGCCGCGUGAGUGAAGAAGGUUUUCGGAUCGUAAAACUCUGUUGUUAGAGAAGAACAAGGACGUUAGUAACUGAACGUCCCCUGACGGUAUCUAACCAGAAAGCCACGGCUAACUACGUGCCAGCAGCCGCGGUAAUACGUAGGUGGCAAGCGUUGUCCGGAUUUAUUGGGCGUAAAGCGAGCGCAGGCGGUUUCGUAAGUCUGAUGUGAAAGCCCCCGGCUCAACCGGGGAGGGUCAUUGGAAACUGGGAGACUUGAGUGCAGAAGAGGAGAGUGGAAUUCCAUGUGUAGCGGUGAAAUGCGUAGAUAUAUGGAGGAACACCAGUGGCGAAGGCGGCUCUCUGGUCUGUAACUGACGCUGAGGCUCGAAAGCGUGGGGAGCAAACA
rnacentral:rRNA from 1 species